rnacentral:rRNA from 1 species
CGGGGGGCAGCAGUGGGGAAUUUUGGACAAUGGACGCAAGUCUGAUCCAGCCAUGCCGCGUGCGGGAAGAAGGCCUUCGGGUUGUAAACCGCUUUUGUCAGGGAAGAAACGGCUCGGGUUAAUACCUUGGGCUAAUGACGGUACCUGAAGAAUAAGCACCGGCUAACUACGUGCCAGCAGCCGCGGUAAUACGUAGGGUGCAAGCGUUAAUCGGAAUUACUGGGCGUAAAGCGUGCGCAGGCGGUUAUGCAAGACAGAUGUGAAAUCCCCGGGCUCAACCUGGGAACUGCAUUUGUGACUGCAUGGCUAGAGUACGGUAGAGGGGGAUGGAAUUCCGCGUGUAGCAGUGAAAUGCGUAGAUAUGCGGAGGAACACCGAUGGCGAAGGCAAUCCCCUGGACCUGUACUGACGCUCAUGCACGAAAGCGUGGGGAGCAAACAGGAUUAGAUACCCGAGU